AAAGACUUGACGGUACUUCACAACACCCUAGAGGAGCCUGUCUAGUAACCGAUACUCCACGAUUAACCCCACCCGUUCUAGCCCUACAGUCUAUAUACCGCCGUCGCCAGCUUACCUUGUGAAAGAUAUAAAGUGAGCAAGAUAGACCACCUUUAACACGACAGGUCGAGGUGUAGCUAAUGAACAGGCAAAAGAUGGGCUACAUUUUCUAACACAGAAAACACGAAUCAAACCAUGAAAUCAAAACUGAAGGCGGAUUUAGUAGUAAGAUAAAAACAGAAUGUUUA
rnacentral:rRNA from 1 species